rfam:Pteropus vampyrus cont1.112172, whole genome shotgun sequence.
CCCUUUGGACUUUUCCUCUAGGUUCGGUGCUAACCUCUCCUGUGAGCGCACUCUACCCCUCCUCCCUUUAACUCUCUCGAGGUUGUCCGUUCUCUUAAAAUAUUGCUUCUGGU